rnacentral:lncRNA from 1 species
AAAGUGAUUGAGAAAACAUUUUCAAUGAGAGCUGAUUUGGAGGAUGAGAAACAACGUUCACCAUCAUCAUCAUCAUCAGGGAUUAGGAAGGCCAUGAAGAGAGCCUUUUCAAAGAGAGCCUCAUCAGCUUCUGCCGCCAACGAUGUUUAUUGCAGAAUAGAUCAUCAAUAUGACACAGUUCCAGUUGCAGACGAUGAAAAUACAAUCAUGGUGGCCCAUUCAACAAAGGAGUCUGAUAAUGUGGGAAACAAGAUCAUUGAAGCUAGUAGGCGCUUCUUUGGUUUUUAGUAUUAUUUGUUACUUAUUCAAUAAUAUUAUUCUUGUCAUCCUACCUACUAUAUAGGACUAUUCUUCCCUUGCAUGGUAAAUAGCUAAGAUGAUCCCUGCUUCUUAUUAUCACAGUUAAUCAAUACUACGAAUGCAUGGCAUUACAAAUAUUUUUUUAUUUUAUUUUUCAGAGACAAUUAUGACCAUUAUGUAUUCAUGUGUGAUUUGAUGAUAGAAAGAUCUCAAGUGAAAUCCAUUACAACUUUUGGCUAAAACUAACUAGGGACCUCUUUAUAAUUAGUCCAAGAUGCUUAUUCCUUUCUGUUCUCUGUUCAGCACCCUGCUUUUGCUUUUGUUUUUUGUUUUUCAUCCCUUUUCACACAAUGGAAACACCUACGGAGGGUGGACACUAUGUGCAACAUCAUCAAACUAUGUAGAAAAAAAGUUACACAACAAACGGAAAGCAAAUAAUGUUGUAAAAUAAAAAAAUAAAAACACUAACCUGUAAGUAGUGGAGCAACCGUAGCAGGAGUAAACACUAACCUGUAAAGAGUUGGCUCAAUACUUGCUUUUAUUAACUCUGAUGCUGGCUAUGCCAUCGUAUAGAUGAAAGAUAUAAAAUAAUUUGCAUCUGAGAUUUGUUUUAACAGAAAAUAAUAAUUUACCUCGUUUAGUUAAUCUGAAGGAUGAGACAUAAAUAUAACUCACUUCUGGCGCUGAGAAAAGACCGCCCAAGGUGGAACAAUUUUUCUUAUAUCCUGCACUCUCAUCCUUGCCUACAUAAUGUAAGGUCAUGAAUACAUGAGAGAAGUCUUCUUCACUUGCUUGCCUGAUUUUCUACAACCAAAACUUUCCAUUUAUCCUUCAUACCAGCAGAGCUCAAAUGCACAUUCUCCUUUUUCUUUCUUUUUUCUUUUUCUUUUGUUUGAGUUUGAAAGCUUCUUUUCCAACUCAACUUCUACCUUUUAGCUACCUUUUGAAAAAAAGAAGAAGCAGGAUGCUGAACAGAGGGAAGAGAGAAGAGGAAGAGGAAGAGGAAAAAAUGAUCUGAUUAUAGAGAGA